CAUAGGGAGGAAGGUAGUGUAGUUAACACCUGCAUUAUUUGACGUUACCUACAGAAGAAGCAACCGGCUAACUCCGUGCCAGCAGCCGCGGUAAUACGGAGGGUGCGAGCGUUAAUCGGAAUUACUGGGCGUAAAGCGCAUGCAGGCGGCCUGUUAAGUCAGAUGUGAAAGACCCGGGGCGUUAACCUCGGAAUUGCAUUUGUAAACUGGCAGGCUAGAGUCUUGUAGAGGGGGGUAGGAAUUUCUAGGUGUAGCGGUGAAAUAGCGUAGAGAUCUGAAGGAAUACCAGUGGCGAAGGCGGCCCCCUCGGACAAAGACUGACGCUCAGAUGCGAAAAGCGUGGGGAGCAAACAGGAUUAGAUACCCCUGGUAG
rnacentral:rRNA from 1 species